rnacentral:rRNA from 1 species
GGUCAAGCUACAAAGGGCAAAUGGUGGAUACCUAGGCACACAGAG